rnacentral:tRNA from 1 species
GAGGGUAUAGUUCAGUGGUAGAGUGCAGGUUUAGCAUGCACAAGGUGCUGGGUUCAAUUUCCAGUACUUUCA